rnacentral:rRNA from 1 species
CCUACGGGAGGCAGCAGUAGGGAAUUUUCGUCAAUGGGCGCAAGCCUGAACGAGCAAUGCCGCGUGAACGAGGCAGGUCUUCGGAUCGUAAAGUUCUGUUGAAGGGGAAAAAGAGCGGAGAGAGGAAAUGAACUCCGAUUGAUAUUACCCUUCGAGGAAGUCACGGCUAACUACGUGCCAGCAGCCGCGGUAAUACGUAGGUGGCGAGCGUUACCCGGAGUGAUUGGGCGUAAAGGGUGCGUAGGCGGCCUGCUAAGUCUGGAGUGAAAGGUACCGGCUCAACCGGGAUAGGCUGUGGAAACUGGCAGCCUUGAGUACAGUUGAGGUAGGCGGAAUGCGUGGUGUAGCGGUGAAAUGCUUAGAUAUCACGAAGAACUCCGAUUGCGAAGGCAGCCUACUAAACUGCCACUGACAUUGAUGCUCGAAAGUGUGGGUAUCAAACAGGAUUAGAUACCCUAGUAGUC